GGGACAAUGAAGUUUGGUAUUUAAUAGCCUUCAAAUAUAUAUAUUAUCCGUGCAUGCAAUACUCUUGCCUCGCUGAGGCAGCCAUUCAGUGCAGGUAAGCAGGUUAUCUACCCCUUGUAGGGAGUACACACAGUACAGGAGGUAACAGGUAGUGUAGGGCACGAUGAGAGGAAUAUAUCAGAGUGUCAGUGCACAGCAGAAACGAAA